UACAGAGGGGGCAAGCGUUGUUCGGAAUUACUGGGCGUAAAGGGCGCGUAGGCGGCCUGUUAAGUCGAACGUGAAAUCCCCGGGCUCAACCCGGGAACUGCGUCCGAUACUGGCAGGCUUGAAUCCGGGAGAGGGAUGCGGAAUUCCAGGUGUAGCGGUGAAAUUCGUAGAUAUUCGGAAGAACACCAGUGGCGAAGGCGGCUCACUGGACUGGUAUUGACGCUGAUGUGCGAAAGCGUGGGGAGCAAACAGG
rnacentral:rRNA from 1 species